UACGUAGGGGGCAAGCGUUGUCCGGAAUCAUUGGGCGUAAAGAGCGUGUAGGUGGCUCGGUAAGUCCGCUGUGAAAGUCCAGGGCUCAACCCUGGAAAGCCGGUGGAAACUGUCGAGCUCGAGUCCGGAAGAGGCGAGUGGAAUUCCUGGUGUAGCGGUGAAAUGCGCAGAUAUCAGGAGGAACACCAAUGGCGAAGGCAGCUCGCUGGGACGUGACUGACGCUGAGACGCGAAAGCGUGGGGAGCAAACAGG
rnacentral:rRNA from 1 species